rnacentral:rRNA from 1 species
GGCGUUUGAUCAUGGCUCAGAUUGAACGCUGGCGGCAUGCCUUACACAUGCAAGUCGAACGGCAGCGCGGGGGCAACCCUGGUGGCGAGUGGCGAACGGGUGAGUAAUACAUCGGAACGUGUCCAGUAGUGGGGGAUAGCCCGGCGAAAGCCGGAUUAAUACCGCAUACCACCUACGGGUGAAAGCGGGGGAUCGCAAGACCUCGCGCUAUUGGAGCGGCCGAUGUCAGAUUAGGUUGUUGGUGGGGUAAAGGCCCACCAAGCCGACGAUCUGUAGCUGGUCUGAGAGGACGACCAGCCACACUGGGACUGAGACACGGCCCAGACUCCUACGGGAGGCAGCAGUGGGGAAUUUUGGACAAUGGGCGCAAGCCUGAUCCAGCCAUGCCGCGUGCGGGAAGAAGGCCUUCGGGUUGUAAACCGCUUUUGUCAGGGAAGAAACGCGCUGAGCUAAUACCUCGGCGUAAUGACGGUACCUGAAGAAUAAGCACCGGCUAACUACGUGCCAGCAGCCGCGGUAAUACGUAGGGUGCAAGCGUUAAUCGGAAUUACUGGGCGUAAAGCGUGCGCAGGCGGUUAUGCAAGACAGAUGUGAAAUCCCCGGGCUCAACCUGGGAACUGCAUUUGUGACUGCAUCGCUGGAGUGCGGCAGAGGGGGAUGGAAUUCCGCGUGUAGCAGUGAAAUGCGUAGAUAUGCGGAGGAACACCGAUGGCGAAAGCAAUCCCCUGGGCCUGCACUGACGCUCAUGCACGAAAGCGCGGGGAGCAAACAGGAUUAGAUACCCUGGUAGUCCACGCCCUAAACGAUGUCAACUGGUUGUUGGUCCUUCACUGGAUCAGUAACGAAGCUAACGCGUGAAGUUGACCGA